CGAAAAUUCAUCACUUUCUUCCUCUCAAACAUUAUGAUGAUGACGCUUGCGGCAUCUGUUUCGUGCCUUUCACUUUCCAGAACCGCCACUGUUACAAGUUGCAAGCAUGAAUAUCACCUUAAGCGCGACAUUGAAUGGUCACAGAGGAGCAGAGAGUGUUCUAUUUGCUGGCAACUGUUUGUCCUCAAAGAUCCUGCUAGGACCAUUUACUUACUUGCUUCAUCAGGUUCCCUUUGUCAAACUCUAAUCCCUGUAACAAAAAUCUGUGGUUUAGGUGCUAAAAGACUCCAACUUUAACGGUGCAAAAGAUUGUAUCAAUCAGUUCAUCAAGUCCUGAGACGUGAACUAGACAUGGUGGAGAAUGAAAAGAAAGAAUGCAUCUCCAACUUCUCCAAGGUCAGUAUCUUUCGUUCAGUUUUUAAAAACAUAUAAAUGUUUAACAAGUUGACGGUCUCGGGAAGCUAUGCUCUAUGUACAGAUAGCACAUAAUCCCAUCUUCUUCCACAGCCCUUUCACGGUUGGAUUGUGGAAAAUAUUCAUAGGGAACCAGCUAGACAUCAACCCAUCAUCGGCCAGUGAAAAAAUCUUCAUACUACAACUCUUCACGUAUAAUAUGUGGAGAGAACAUAACUGCAGGACUUUCAGACAAACUUCCUCUUCGGAGCGAGCGAUCAAUGAAGGACAAGCUUCUCUCCAUUCCGGCUACGUCGUCUACAGCUCACUCUAUGCUCGAGAUCUAAUUCUGCUUCAUUGCACUUUUCAACUAAGGAUGCUCACCUCACUCUCAGUCUGUUUUCCAUCUUCUUUGUUGACAAUACUGCUAUGUUUCAUCAGACUUGUCUGUUUUUCAUCUUCUUCUAAUAAAUUACUUGCAACAAACUCUGUAAAUUUUUGAAAAUUUGGUGUGAAUCUCUAACAUGUUUUCAACAAAAAAAGAGAGCAAUGUAUUACAAAAUGAGAGGCGAUUCUGACUCAGUUUGACUCGGAACGAAUCCUCAGUACCACUCUACUCGCCAUGGUAGCAGAAGCCACUUUGAGUAAUCAUGUCAUUGACUUAGGCUCCUAUUUAUUUAUGUUUUUUCUCGAGUGAGUCGGCGAGUUUAUUGAGCUGAGUAUACACGGUAGUGAAUACAGACGAAU